UUCCGGUUGAUCCCGCCGGAGGCUACCGCUAUUGGAGUUCGAUUAAGCCAUGCGAGUCGCGAGUCUUAGGGACUCGGCGUACCGCUCAGUAACACGUGGGUAACCUGCCCUAUGCUGGGGGAUAACCUCGGGAAACUGAGAAUAAUACCCCAUAGUUCACCACGCCUGGAACGGUGGGUGGAUGAAAGCUCCGGCGGCAUAGGAUGGGCCUGCGGCGUAUCAGGUUGUAGGGGGUGUAAUGUACCCUCUAGCCAUCUACGCGUACGGGUGUUGGGAGACAUCGCCCGGAGAUGGAUUCUGAGACACGAAUCCAGACCCUACGGGGUGCAGCAGGCGCGAAAACUUGGCAAUGCGAGCAAUCGUGACCAGGGAACUCCAAGUGCAUCGGGUAAGACCGAUGCUUUUCUUGACUCUUCAAAGGUCUUGGAAUAAGGGGUGGGUAAGGACGGUGCCAGCCGCCGCGGUAAUACCGGCGCCUCAAGUGGUAGUCGCUUUUAUUGGGCCUAAAACGUCCGUAGCCGGUUUGGUACAUUCGUGGGUAAAUCAAGGCGCUCAACGUCUUGAAUUCUGCGAGGACGGCCAGACUAGGGACCGGGAGAGGUAUGGGGUACUCUCAGGGUAGGGGUAAAAUCCAGUCAUCCUGAGGGGACCACCUGUUGCGAAGGCGCCAUACUAGAACGGAUCCGACGGUCAGGGACGAAGCCUAGGGGCACGAACCGGAUUAGAUACCCGGGUAGUCCUAGGUGUAAACGCUGUGGACUUGGUGUUGGGGAUUCUACGAGUAUCCCCAGUGCCGAAGUGAAGAUGUUAAGUCCACUGCCUGGGGAGUACGGUCGCAAGGCUGAAACUUAAAGGAAUUGGCGGGGGAGCACAGCAACGAGAGGAGCGUGCGGUUUAAUUGGAUUCAACGCCGGA
rnacentral:rRNA from 1 species